rnacentral:rRNA from 1 species
GGAAUCUUUCACAAUGGGCGCAAGCCUGAUGGAGCAACACCGCGUGAGUGAAGAAGGGCUUCGGCUCGUAAAGCUCUGUUGUUAAAGAAGAACACGUAUGAGAGUAACUGUUCAUACGUUGACGGUAUUUAACCAGAAAGUCACGGCUAACUACGUGCCAG